rnacentral:rRNA from 1 species
GGGAUGCGAUUAGCAUGCGAGAUCGAGAGCUUUGGGACUCGGCCAACUGCUCAGUAACACGUGGACAACCUACCCUCGAGACAGGGAUAACCCCGGGAAACUGGGACUAAUACCUGAUAGAUAUAGACGGCUGGAAUGCGUCUAUAUCGAAACGUUCAGGCGCUCGAGGAUGGGUCUGCGGCCGAUUAGGUAGACGGUGGGGUAAAGGCCCACCGUGCCGAUAAUCGGUACGGGUUCUGAGAGGAGGAGCCCGGAGAUGGACUCUGAGACACGAGUCCAGGCCCUACGGGGCGCAGCAGGCGCGAAACCUUUGCACUGCGGGCGACCGCGAUAAGGGCAUCCCGAGUGCCCGCGCACUGCGUGGGCUGUCUCCAAGCCUAAAAAGCUUGGGUUAGGAAGGACCGGGCAAGACCGGUGCCAGCCGCCGCGGUAACACCGGCGGUCCGAGUGGUGGACAAUUUUAUUGGGCCUAAAGCGUCCGUAGCCGGUCAAGCAAGUCCUUCGGGAAAUCCAGUUGCUCAACCUCUGGAAUUCCGAGGGAAACUGUUUGGCUAGGGACCGGAAGGGGCUGCGGGUACGUCGAGGGUAGGGGUGAAAUCCCGUAAUCCUCGACGGACCACCUGUGGCGAAAGCUCGCAGCUGGAACGGGUCCGACGGUGACGGACGAAAGCCAGGGGCACCAACCGGAUUACAUACCCGGGUACUCCUG